rnacentral:misc_RNA from 1 species
GAUGAAGAACGAAGCGAAAUGCGAUACUUGGUGUGAAUUGCAGAAUCCCGUGAACCAUCGAGUCUUUGAACGCAAGUUGCGCCCGAAGCCACUAGGCCGAGGGCACGCCUGCCUGGGCGUCACACGUCGUUGCCCCCCACCAUCUACUCCUUCGGGAUUGCGGGGGGCGGAUGAUGGCCUCCCGUGCGCCUAGCCGCGCGGUUGGCAUAAAUACCAAGUCCUCGGCGACGCACGCCACGACAAUCGGUGGUUGCGAAACCUCGGUUGCACGUCGUGUGCGUUCGUCGCGCAUCGAGGGCUCGAAAAAAUGCUCGGCUCCGGCUCGGCUUUCAACGCGACCCCAGGUCAGGCGGGGUUACCCGCUGAAUUUAAGCAUAUCAAUAAGCGGAGGA